rnacentral:misc_RNA from 1 species
AACCUUAUGGACCUGCGGGCGUAUACCUGCGGAAGGAUCAUUAACGCAUCUCUGGCGGCGAGGGUGCGCCCAGCUCCGGACCGAAAGGCCGUGCAGCGGGCUAUCCCGGACCGCUAAACCUUUGCAAACCCACUGUGCACUUUUGUCGGCAAAAGGGCCUUUGCGGGCCCCGAGCCGGAUCACAAACACUUUGUUAAACGAAUGCAAGCGGACAUUGAGCCGUCUAAACUUUAACAACUU